GUUUGAGGAUUGAAUGUGAUGAUUGUAUUGAUUGGGGGUUAUUGUAUAUGAGGUUGAUAUAUAUAUAUAUAUAUUUGGGAGAUGUAUUAAGUUAGAAAAAGGCUUAAAGCCUAUGUGUGCCGGUGUAAUGUGAUGGAAUGACAUAUAUGUAUGUCUCGGGCGUUACAUCGUUUCUUGUUGGGUCAUGUGGCAAUCAUUUGAGUUGGCAUGAUUCAUCGCCGGAGUGGGCAUGCGGUGUGACUGUAAAUGAAGUAACGUAGAAGCGUGAUCUCGUGGAGACAACGUGGAACGUAUGAACAUGGUGGUGGAUUAAGCGUGAACCGAUUUUGGUAACUUGAUUGCGUGAAGGCAUGAGGACAGCGUCAUGUCGUGGAGACAACACAAUAUGAAGAGUUCUCACGCGACAACAUGAGGUACACG
rnacentral:lncRNA from 1 species